rnacentral:rRNA from 1 species
AACGCGAAGAACCUUACCUGGGCUCGAAUGUAGUGGAAUCCGGUAGAAUAUCGGCGUCUAGCAAUAGACCGCUAUAUAGGUGCUGCAUGGCUGUCGUCAGCUCGUGUCGUGAGAUGUUGGGUUAAGUCCCGCAACGAGCGCAACCCUUAUCGUUAGUUGCCAGCGCGUAAAGGCGGGAACUCUAACGAGACUGCCUGGGUUAACCAGGAGGAAGGUGAGGAUGACGUCAAGUCCGCAUGGCCUUUAUGUCCAGGGCUACACACGUGCUACAAUGGUCGGUACAGAAGGCAGCGAAACCGCAAGGCGAAGCAAAUCCUGAAAAACCGAUCUCAGUUCGGAUUGUAGUCUGCAACUCGGCUACAUGAAGUUGGAAUUGCUAGUAAUGGCGUGUCAGCAACAACGCCGUGAAUACGUUCCCGGGCCUUGUACACACCGAGACGAC